GCACUUCCCUGGAAGGGGUCAAUGAGCGAUCAAUAAGGCUCAUGGCUUACGCUGGUGAUUUCCAUUGCACUUUGGAAGGGUGCCAAGUUAAGGUAGGCCCAAGUCAGUUUUAAAAAA
rnacentral:snRNA from 1 species